AACCCGUCCUGGCGUGACAGCCUCUGGGUUGGUGCUGUCAGAGAGUCUGGCUGCUUGAGAGUCUGACAUUGCAUCCUCCCCAUCGCUGCAAAACAGCAUUUGCUCAAAGGCAAUAGAGCACAGAUGAACCAGCCCAGGAGCAGUGAAUAUGAGAUCGCGUCCACCAACAGCAAGCUAUUCCGCAUACAACUCUCCUGCACUUCUUUGUUUUGAGGAAGAACCCAUUCAGUGAGGCAUUUGGAGCUCAGAGCAGCUUUCUUGAGAUGAGAGCGAUGCCACCUGCCUUUUUUUUUUUUUUUGCAAUCAGCAUGGCUCUCCAGAAAGCUUGUCCACCAGACCUCUCACUCUGAGAAGUCCCCUCCCUUGGAGAAGAUGGAUGAUUUCCCUGGAGAGCCUACUCAUUGGAUGUGUCACUUUAAGGCAGGGAUAGAUAGGCAGGCUGUGACCCACAAUUCCAUCGGCCAAAUUUUCUCUAGUGGUUGUGGACAGCAUUUCUGACAUGACCAGGGAUCGUCCCAAAAUGGCAAAAUGUUGAUUUGUUUGCAAGAGAGAUGCAAUGGAAAGUGCAGCUCUCUGAAGUUUUCUUGCUUCACUAGUAUAACUCUUUAGCCUCCCAAAGUUGCUCAUCCUUGCUCUACAGAGGGAGGGAGUGGGCAGUGGCUAUUUCAGAGAUCACGGCAUUUGCUGCUGUGGGAAUAUAGCACUGUAAAGAGAGUGAUCCCCAUCGCAGGGCUAUAAGGCCUUCUUAAAAUCAUAGCAGGCCUCUGGAGAGAGCACAACCCACCAACUUCCACUCCACAAUUUUACAUGAGGUCUUCACUAUGACUUUAUCUCUGUUUCAUGGAAGAGUUGACCCUUUAAUUCUAAGAACAGAGAAAGAGCAUUGAUAAAGUAGACUAAAAAUAUCUAUGUAGUACACUUGUCCCUCCAUGUUCAUGUGUUCUUCAUCCAUAAAGAAAGGAAACCUUAUUUUGUUUUCAUUAUGGUGAUACCCUGCUGUUACCUUUAAUAAUUUCAUGGUUUCUCAAGCUUGCUCCAACACUUGAGCUAUUCAUCAUUUAAUAUAAGGAAUGCCAUUUUACUAUGUCCUUGUACAUAAUGAUCCUUGAGCAAAGCCCAAAGGAUGAUUUGUGCUCACUUUAUAACUAGCUGCUGAUGGGAAGACCAAUGCAGAAUAGGAGCACACUAGCACCCUUAUGGUAGCAUUCCCCAACAACUAGUAUACAGACUCUUAUUGCCUUUGAUCCUGCAGGCAAUACAUAACACCAUUCUUGGCAGUUGCUGAUAUCUUUAACUUCCCUAUAUUUCUUUCAAUUCUUCCAUUAAAGGUGUCUAAGUUCAUGGUGAUCAAUACAUGUUGUAGAAAUGAUUAUGACUUAGAGAGAAAAAGUACUGCCUUUUGUCAGUCUGCUUUAUGGCUCUCAUGUUAAAGGCCUCUUCCACACAGCUGAAUAAAAUCACACAUUUUCUGCUUUGAACUGGAAUAUAUGGCAGUGUGGACUCUGAGUUCAAAGCAGAUAUUGUAGGAUUUUCUGUCUUGAAAUUCCGAGUUAUAUGGCUGUGUGGAAGGGUCCAAAGAAACAGGGAGGGGAGUCCUACAAACUGGUGCUUUUAUUUCAUCCACAUCUCACUUUAGUGAAGGUGUCCCUUUCUGUUACGUAUCAGAUAUGCACUCUGUGUUCUGGACAGAUAUUCAGUCAGAAUAUAUACUUGUCUGAUGCUUAGAAUGCCAAAGGAUGGGACAGGAAAGUGGGAGGCAUGAUAUCAGCAGAAAGUUGCUUAUUACCUUCUUUCUCUAAAGCGUCCACAAGCCUCAUUACAACCAGUGGUGCUUGUUCUGGGAUAUUUAUCUGAUCAACAAGCUCCUUCUGCCCAGGAGACCCUGUCAAGAACAAAGAGACAAAGAUAUAAGUUUAAGUCCCAUUUUCCUCAUUCCAGUUGUUUCACAACUCUGACCCAGAAGCAGUACAGUCCCUCACUUGCCAGAGAUACUUGGUGCUAGUCAGCCCGGCAUCGGUAUCUCUGGAAAAAAAUUAAAUUAAUUUUGUUAUAUAUUAAGAGUCCUAAACCAAAUGUGAAAUGUUUGAAAAUUAUGAGUUACAUGUAGAAACAAAUUGUAGAGACAUGCCAGUCAAAGAGGAUGAGAGAAAGAGAUCAACCACAUAGUUGAAUUAUAAGUAUAGUGUGAACAAGGAAUGAAAAGAGGUAUAAUAACAUAAGAGUCAAGCAUCUGCUCCUCAAUGCCAACACACUUUUUAUGUCUAGAGGAGACUUUUCAGGGGGAAAAACUGGUUCUGCAAAUGUUCAACAUAAUUCAGUUGAAGCAAGGAAAAGCUACCGUUGCCUAGCACCAGUGACUGUUAUCUUGCACAGAUAUCAUCACCUCUUUUGAGGCAUAAUUUUCAUUAUUAAUGUACAGCUCAAUAAACAUGUGAUUCCAAUCA